UACAGAGGUCCCAAGCGUUGUUCGGAUUCACUGGGCGUAAAGGGUGCGUAGGUGGCUUGGUAAGUUUGAUGUGAAAUCUCCGGGCUUAACCCGGAAAUGGCAUUGAAUACUAUUGAGCUGGAGGUUUGGAGGGGGGACUGGAAUUCUCGGUGUAGCAGUGAAAUGCGUAGAUAUCGAGAGGAACACCAGUGGCGAAGGCGAGUCCCUGGACAACACCUGACACUGAGGCACGAAAGCUAGGGGAGCAAAUAGG
rnacentral:rRNA from 1 species